UCCAGACUCCUACGGGAGGCAGCAGUGGGGAAUAUUGCACAAUGGGGGAAACCCUGAUGCAGCGACGCCGCGUGAGGGAAGAAGGUUUUCGGAUUGUAAACCUCUGUCUUCGGUGACGAAACGAGACGGUAGCCGAGGAGGAAGCCCCGGCUAACUACGUGCCAGCAGCCGCGGUAAUACGUAGGGGGCAAGCGUUAUCCGGAUUUACUGGGUGUAAAGGGAGCGUAGGCGGUGAUGCAAGUCAGAAGUGAAAGCCCGCAGCUCAACUGCGGGGCUGCUUUUGAAACUGUAUGACUAGAUUGCAGGAGAGGUAAGUGGAAUUCCUAGUGUAGCG
rnacentral:rRNA from 1 species